rnacentral:rRNA from 1 species
AGAGUUUGAUCCUGGCUCAGAAUGAACGCUGGCGGCGUGCUUAACACAUGCAAGUCGAACGAUGAAGCCUAGCUUGCUAGGUGGAUUAGUGGCGCACGGGUGAGUAAUAUAUAGAUAACGUGCCUCUUAGUCUGGGAUAACUACUGGAAACGGUAGCUAAUACCUCAUACUCCAUAUCUUUUGAUGAGAUAUGGGAAACAAUUUUUUGCCAAAAGAUUGGGCUAUAUCCUAUCAGCUAGUUGGUAAGGUAAAAGCUUACCAAGGCUAUGACGGGUAACUGGUUUGAGAGGAUGAUCAGUCACACUGGAACUGAGACACGGUCCAGACUCCUACGGGAGGCAGCAGUGGGGAAUAUUGCACAAUGGAGGAAACUCUGAUGCAGCAACGCCGCGUGGAGGAUGACGCAUUUCGGUGUGUAAACUCCUUUUAUAAGAGAAGAUAAUGACGGUAUCUUAUGAAUAAGCACCGGUUAACUCCGUGCCAGUAGUUGCGGUAAUACGGAGGGUGCAAGCGUUACUCGGAAUCACUGGGCGUAAAGAACAUGUAGGCGGGGAAUUAAGACAGAAGUGAAAACCUAUAGCUCAAAUAGCUCAACUAUUGAACUGCUUUUGAAACUGUGUAACUAGAAUAUGGGAGAGGUAGAUGGAAUUUCUGGUGUAGGGGCAAAAUCCGUAGAGAUCAGAAGGAAUACCGAUUGCGAAGGCGAUCUACUGGAACAUUAUUGACGCUGAGAUGCGAAAGCGUGGGGAGCAAACAGGAUUAGAUACCCUGGUAGUCCACGCCCUAAACGAUGCACACUAGUUGUUGCUAUGCUAGACAUAUCAGUAAUGCAGUUAACACAUUAAGUGUGCCGCCUGGGGAGUACGGUCGCAAGAUUAAAACUCAAAGGAAUAGACGGGGACCCGCACCAGCGGUGGAGCAUGUGGUUUAAUUCGAAAAUACGCGAAGAACCUUACCUAGACUUGAAAUCCUUGGAAUCUUUCAGAGAUGAGAGAGUGCUAGUUUACUAGAACCAAGUGACAGGUGCUGCGCGGCUGUCGUCAGCUCGUGUCGUGAGAUGUUGGGUUAAGUCCCGCAACGAGCGCAACCCUUGUGAUUAGUUGCUAACAGUUCGGCUGAGCACUCUAAUCAGACUGCCUUCGUAAGGAGGAGGAAGGUGAGGACGACGUCAAGUCAUCAUGGCCCUUAUGUCUAGGGCUACACACGUGCUACAAUGGUUGGGACAAAGAGCAGCGAUACCGCGAGGUGGAGCAAAUCUUAAAACCCAAUCUCAGUUCGGAUUGGAGUCUGCAACUCGACUCCAUGAAGCUGGAAUCGCUAGUAAUCGUAGAUCAGCGAUGCUACGGUGAAUACGUUCCCGGGUCUUUUACUCACCGCCCGUCACACCAUGGGAGUUGAUUUCACUCGAAGCCGGAAUACUAAAUUAGUUACCGUCCACAGCGGAAUUAGCGACUGGGGUGAAGUCGAAACAAGGUAACCGUAGGAGAACCUGCGGUUGGAUCACCUCCUU